UACGUAGGGGGCGAGCGUUGCCCGGAUUUACUGGGCGUAAAGCGCGCGUAGGCGGUCUCAUAAGUCUGGUGUGAAAUCUCACGGCUCAACCGGGAGGCUGCACUGGAUACUGUGAGACUGGAGGGUAGGAGAGGAGAUCGGAAUUCCUGGUGUAGCGGUGGAAUGCGUUGAUAUCAGGAGGAACACCAAUGGCGAAGGCAGAUCUCUGGCCUAUCUCUGACGCUGAGGUGCGAAAGCCAGGGGAGCGAAAGGG
rnacentral:rRNA from 1 species